rnacentral:lncRNA from 1 species
UAAAGAGUUCCCACCAACGCCGGUGUAUGAAAAGCCACUUCCACCACCUGUUCCAGUUUAUGAAAAACCUGUUCCACCACCUACACCGGUAUAUGAAAAGCCACUUCCACCACCUGUUCCUGUUUAUGAAAAACCUCUUCCCCCACCUACACCGGUCUAUGAAAAACCACUUCCACCGCCUACUCCAGUUUAUGAAAAACCUCAUCCUCCGCCUACACCUGUCUAUGAAAAGCCACUUCCACCGCCUGUUCCUGUUUAUGAAAAACCUCUUCCCCCACCUACACCGGUCUAUGAAAAACCACUUCCACCGCCUACUCCAGUUUAUGAAAAACCUCAUCCUCCGCCUACACCUGUCUAUGAAAAGCCACUUCCACCGCCUGUUCCUGUGUAUGUAAAGCCUAUUCCUCCACCUACUCCGAUCUAUGAAAAGCCACUUCCACCUCCUGUUCCGGUUUAUAAAAAACCUGUUCCUCCACCUACACCAGUCUAUGAAAAGCCACAUCCACCGCCUGUUUAUGAAAAGCCACUUCCACCUCCUGUGUAUGUAAAACCUAAGCCUCCACCAGUGCCAAUCUACAAAAAGCCACUUCCACCACCGGUUCCUGUUUACAAAAAACCUUGUCCUCCCCCUGUUCCUAUUUACAAGAAACCUAAUCCUCCACCAGUAUAUGAGAAGCCACUUCCACCACCAGUUCCUGUUUAUAAGAAACCUAAUCCUCCACCAGUGCCAGUCUACAAGAAGCCUCUUCCACCUCCUGUUCCCAUAUAUAAGAAACCCCUCCCUCCACCUGUUCCCAUUUACAAGCAUCCAUUUUUCAAGCACAAACACCCAUUCUUCAAGCAUAAACACCCAUUCUUCAAGCAUUUGCCUCACAUUCCAAAAAUUCCCCAUCAUCCAUUUUUUAAGAAGCCAUGGCCACCUAUCCCUCAAUUCCCUCCUGUUCCCAAGUCCCCACCAAAGUACUUCUCCCACCACAUGUUUGGAGGGUUCCCUAAACAUCCACCGGUUGUUUCUCAUCCUUAGAAUGUCAUUGUCUUGCAGCAUUGUUGCUUUUUUCUUAAUAAGCAAUGAAAGAGAUGGUUAAUGUGCAGUGGAAGUUUAGUAACUUUCAAGUUCUACAAAUAAAGCUCCAGUUUCUGACUUACAAAUUGAACCAAAUCAGAAGGGAGAAAAAGAAGCAGGAGUGAAUUGUUGUUUUGUUUUUAAUUUUUCUAUAAAAAAAUUGGAAUUGUGUGGAUUGUUUAUGGUUGUUGUUCCACAGUUUGAGAUCAGGAUUCUGUAAAUGUCAAUGAACAGAUUUUUCGUUUGAGAAAACUUUCACCUUGAGGUUCUUGCAUGCUAUGGUUGUUUAUCCAGGAAAUGAUAAUGAAAAAGGCAUAUUAUUUAUCUUUUUUUUCCCCUAAAUAUCAUUUGUUUUUCUAUCUCUCGUAUUCUUCCUGCUCCUGAAGAGUUGUAAUCUCAAAUUGCAUGAACUGGAAAUAAAAAUAUCAAACUAUGCUAUAUAAAAAACAGAAAAAGUAUAUAGUACUCCUAAACUGUGCAUAAACGUCUCUUAAAAAACAAAAACUAUCUUGAAACUGAACUCCAUGUUAAAUAGGAUAAACAAAUGAAGAAUGUAUGGAGAAGUUUGGUUCCUUGUGCUAUCAUAUACGAACACAAACUAUGCAGACUAUGCAAACUUUGCUUCUCCUUUUUCACAUAGAUUGUUAUUGCCAUCUGGAACCAACGUAAGUUGAUGGGUCCAAUGGCUUAUAAAAUGCAGUUUGACCAAAUCAGGUGGGAUUGGGAGUUUGUUGAGCAGAUGCAUACAUAUAUUGCUAAGAGAAGAUCGAGUUUGUUAUAGUCCUAAACGCCCUUUUAUUCGACUAUUGAUGAUGUUUGCAGCAAUAGCUAAGAAGCCACCAUAGGUACCUCGUACAAGCUUAACUCCGAUGCUUCUUUCACCGUGUGCGAGUGGUGGGCUUUUUAGAGCGAUUCUUAGUAUUUCCAAUGGUGAACCAAUGAUUUUGAUGCAUGCUCUAAUGUUCACAACUAUUGUUCAGCUCAAUGCUGCUCUCGAGAGAGAAAUGGUUUAAAUAGUUUUAGUUAUUUUCUUAAUGGAAGAUUGUAACUAUUUCAACAACUAUGUGGAACCUUUGAUGUGUUUUAGACUUUUUUUUCUCUUCACAAAAAUUGUAAUUACAUUGCUCGUAUUCUUAGGAACCAACGUCUAGGGUGUUUUGAUAUGUUUACUAAUUUGAUAACUCUCGAUAGCAAAUUGAGACUUUUGAAAUAGUGUUUAGUGUAGCUAAUUGAAAACUAUUUAAAUAGUUUUUACGGUAGCAAGAUGUGGUUAUUACAGUCCUAGAUAGUCUUUGCCCUAAACAACCCAUUGGUUUCUUGUUCUUCUUUGUAUUGCUAAACAAAAAACGAGCUUAACACAAUGUAAUUGUUAUGACAUUUCCAUCUUAUAAGUCAAAGGUUCAAAUACCCCAAUUCAUAAAAGCUUGUACAACUCUAACGAGUCAUUUGGUCCUCAAACUAUGAAGGAGUAGAGUGGUUUAUUUUAGUUCACUCAAUGUUUGCCCCAAAAAUUAUUAUAAUCCUAGAAUUAGGACUAUUCUACAUUUUUUCUUAUUUCUCCUAUUCCUCGCUCUCCUUUCACUAUUCCUCACCUCUAUCUCUCCUAUAUGUCCAUAUUUCCCACUCUCUCAUUUAACUAUUUCUCAUUUAUCUAGAUUAUACAACCUAAACUAUAAUAAUUUGUACUUUAAACACGUACUGUAAUAACUCACAAACUAUUAUAACCACAUAUUAUAAUAACCCACAAACUAUUAUAAUCACAUAUUAUAAUAACUCAUCCCAUGCUCCAAACGCUCUUUAAGAAAACGGGUGUAGGUUAAAAAAGAGAAAUAAAUGAUUGUACUCUAAAACAAAUAAAAGAUUAUAGAAUGAUGUAAUAUUUCACAGUAAUGAUAAAAAUAGGAUACAUAAGAAAAAUAUUUAAAAAAUACAGUGUUUUCCCUGAUCUAGCUUUCAAUGACAAACUAAGGUAAAAAAUAGGAACAUUUAAAAAGUGGCUAACCAUGCCACACGUUGGCCAAAAUCGAAGACCGAAGCCAUACUCAACUUCAAUUUUUUUUUCUAAUUAAUUUUUAUGUGACCAUACGUGAAGGUUUAAAAAUAACUCGACCAUUCGAAUAAUCCAUAUUUUAAGAAUAGAGUUGGAUUAGUUUAAAUUUUAGAUUGAAUGAUAUGGUUUUUGUUUUUUAUUUUUAUUUUUCGAGUUGGUCAUAUCAACAAUAACCCUCCAACUUCAAGAAGAUGAACCGAAUCAAUCCGGUCCGACUUUGCUUCGUACUUAAAUCGAACUUUCCAGUACUUUCGGUUCGGUUCGGUUCUCGGUUUCCCCAAACAGAGCCACUCAAAUUUAGAUUUAGGGUUCCGUUAGCAAUUUUCAGCGCAUUUUUAUUUGAAUCGGUCGUUUGUUGAACGCGUUCUCUCUCAGCUGGUUUAGGGUUCAUCGUUCUCUCUUCUCGCGCUAGAUCUUUCUCUCUCUCAGGUUCGUUUCUUUCUCUUAGGCCAUUUAUUAGAAGAUCCUCUUCAUUCUCCGAUUUUCGUUCGGUGUUCGCCCUUGGUAUCUCAGCAGACCUAGGAAGUUUGGUUUCCGUUUGGUGAAUCUGUUUGGGGUAUUACGAAUUAUAUUUUGUACUGGGCUUUCAGCAUAGUCUUUUUCUUUCUGGGAAUAUAUGCAUCUGAAAAUUUAUUUGUUUGGCUUUUCUUUAUAAAGUAUGAGGACAUAUACAUCUCGAUAGCUAAUCCUUGAUUAUAGUCUUUUUUUUUCUAUGUUGUUUGAAUCUGUUCUUUCAUUUCAUUAAAUCUUUUGAAUCUGAAAUUUUAUUUCUUGGAUGAAUUGCAUACUGUUGAAUUAGAAGUUUAUUGGUUAGAUUGUUGAUAUUUGCCCUAAGUUCUAUGGAUGGGUUUGCGUUUUUCACCUUUUCGUUUGCCUUUUCUUUUGGCUGACGGCAUCUUACAUAGACUCUGCUCGAAAAGGUGCCGUGAUUUUUUUCCUGGUUUUAUCUGAGUUUGCACAAUUUAGAUUUGAAGUGAUGAUUUGUCUAAAAUUCAAUAUCUAUCGGCCAUACUAUUUUUUGUUAUUUUGAGUUUUUCAGGAUGACUGCUAGAGAAUGAAAAAUCUCGGAACAUUGUGUUCUGUAGUUCAAGAAUAUUGUAGUCUGUUCUUUUCUAGACUAUCUCAUUUGAUACAACCCUUUAAAUUUAAUCAAAUUUUGUUAAUAUUCAAAUCCUCGGACUUAGGCCUUACUCUGGUUGCCCACUAUUUUAAGCUUAGAAGCCUACUCUGGUUCACUUAAAAUUUGCAUGCUACUUAUCUUAUUUCACGUGACUCUUCACGUUUGUAGACAUCAAUUUUUCAGCCUUCAGGUAAAUGAACACAAAAAGGAGUGAAGUCUGCCUUCUGUGUGAUGGUCUUUUAAACAAUUAUAGGGAUUAAGAUGGUUUUUUUAUUCAAUGCAUAGAUAUUAAAUUAGAACGAUGACGGUCAUUAAUAUUAAAAUUGACAAUAGAAGGUUCCUUAUAUUAUUUAGAGUAUACAUUAAAAACAGCCUGAUUCUUGGCUUGGCAGGUUCCUGAUCACCUUGUAAACA